rnacentral:lncRNA from 1 species
GUUGAUGAAUGGCAGUUGCAUUAAUGAUCUCAUUUGAAUGUAUAACUUGUUUUCAAGGGUUAAUGCCUUGUAAUUAUUGAGACAAACCCCCAGAUAUGAUAUCCGGGUUACUGUAUAGGGGAUUCUUUCGUUUCCAUUGUUUGCCACGACCCCUAGGUCAUUCCCACUUUUUUAAUUUGUAAUUUUACAGUACUAAGUCCAUACGUAUCCUAAACCCUAGGCAUCCCACAAU